UACGGAGGGUGCAAGCGUUGUUCGGAAUUACUGGGCGUAAAGGGCGUGUAGGCGGCUUGGCAAGUCAGAUGUGAAAGCCCUGGGCUUAACCCAGGAAGUGCAUUUGAAACUGCCAGGCUAGAGUAUGGGAGAGGAGAGUGGAAUUCCCAGUGUAGAGGUGAAAUUCGUAGAUAUUGGGAGGAACAACGGUGGCGAAGGCGACUCUCUGGACCAAUACUGACGCUGAGACGCGAAAGCGUGGGGAGCAAACAGG
rnacentral:rRNA from 1 species